UCUGGAUAAGAGCGUCUGCUAAAUGCCUGUAAUCUCAUCUUCCUGUUCUUAUCUGACUGAUGCCCAUCCAUUUCAAGGUUUGAAGUGUUGUGCAUUCAGAGGUGCCUUUGUACACACCACUGUUGUAAAAAAAAGUUGUUAUUUGAGCAUUUCUGGCCUUUCUGUUAGCUUGAAUGAGUCUGUACAUUUUCCUCCGAUGUCUUUCAUUAGCAAGGUGUUUUCUGCCACAGAUCUGCUGCUCACUGGGUGUUUUUUGUUUAUCGCACCAUUCUCUGUAAACUCUAGAGACAAGUGCAUAAAAAUUCCAGGAGAGCAGUUGUUUCUGAGAUGCUGGAACCGCCGUGUUUGCCACUAACGAUCAUACCACAGUCAAAGCCGCCUAGAUCACAAAUCUUUCCCAUUCCAAUGUUUGGUCGAACAACAGCUAAACUUCUUCACCAUGUCUGCAUGCUUUAUACAUUGAGUUGCAGCCACGUGAUUAACUGUUACGAGGAGUAAGCUAUUGGCGUUAACAAGCAGGUGUACGUAGUAAAGAGGCCAGUGAGUAUAAAAAAUGCCAAAAACAAAAAUCCAAAAUCGAACUGGGAGCACACGAUUGGUUCUCGGGAGCCAGACUCUCAUGCUAGUGAAGUAGUUGGUGGGCUGCAAAGUUUUGUUCUUUUAAACGUGUAAACUUCUGUUGUCCAAUUUGAGUGCGUAUCUAAUGUUUUUAUUGGCUGGUAUACCUACAUGUCCAAUAGGGAGGCAUAUUCUCUGUGGGCCUAGAGCAUUUGUGAUGUUGUAAUUGGCAGGAAAAAGAAGAAGAAGAAGAAAAAACUUGAAAUCCCCAAAGUUAGAGGCUUUAUUAUGUGGACGUGUGAAGUUGCUUGUGAAUUCUGUCUGUUGACAUGAAGAGAGAGUCUGUGGUCAUUGUGGUUAUUUCUGUAGGGAACCCUGAAAAGUGCCAAACUCUCGGUGCUGUAUAGGUAUGGGGCAUGCUACCCCACCAAAGCGUAACCUGGCGUGAUGGCAUAACCAUGUCAAUAUACCUCAUUUUCCCUUUAUUUUGGCAGUUACAUGCACAUUACAGUACCUUCAUUCAUGUGUGUUCACUGUUAAUAUCUACAUCACUGUCAUUAGCAUGGCUUCUGUCUCUCACUUGUUAUUGCCUGUCUCUCAUAAUGGUCUCUACUGAAUACAUUUAUACAUGCAUACUGUACAUUCUAUCACAUUUAUGCUGUUGUGAUUGUUGUGUUUUUCAGACCUACAAGAGCAUUAAGGAAAGGUAUGUGGACUCUUACCUCAUUUCGUAUUGUCUGUUUAAGUCACUUCAAACCCCAAAGCCUGAGUGACUCCUGCUUGUCAUUACAGAGCCCAGUGCACACUGCAGAAUCCAGAGCUACUCUCAGGGGCACUGAUAGAUGUGGCCAAACAGCUGGGCAACCUGAAGUUCAGAGUCUGGGAGAAGGUGCUGGGGGUGGUGCAGUACACUCCUGUGGUGCUGGACCCCAAUACUGUACAUACCCAAGUCUCUCUCUCUGAUGAUCUGACCACUGUGAUACACACAGGUACAGACCAGAAAUAUCCUGACAACCCAGAGAGGUUUAGCAGGUGUGUGAAUGUGCUGGGAUCUGAGGGGUUUACCUCAGGGAAACACAGCUGGGAGGUGAAGGUUGGGAAUAAACCUGAGUGGGAUAUAGGAGUGGUGAAAGAGUCCAUCAGUAGGAAGGGAAGUAUAACAUGCAGCCCAGAGAGAGGAUUCUGGGUCUUAAUGCUGAGGAAUGGUGAUAAGUACAGUGCAUCUGGAGGUACUGACCUCACGCUGAAAAGGAAGCCCCAGAGCAUCAGAGUGCAGCUGGAAUAUGACAGGGGGAAGGUGUCCUUCUUCGACUCCAGUGACAUGUCACUCAUUUACACUUUUAAAGACACAUUUACUGAGAGAGUGUUCCCAUUCUUCUGUCCCUGUUUGAAAAAAGAUAAAAAUGAAGGACCCCUGCAGAUAUGCCCAGUGAAAGUUUCUGUAACAGUUAUGUCAUCCCAUUGAAGGUGUUUUAAAAAAAAGAACAAACUACAUGUACUGGAAGAGUAUUAUAGAGGAAAUCCAUAUUACUCUAUACCUAUUAUGUUCCUCUAUAAUGAUUAUAAUUUUUUCAUUUUCAUUUUCUUUUCAUCAUUAAUAAUUUAGUUGAGAUUUAUCAUUGAUAAUGUACAUAUACAGGUAGUAUCUUCUGGGUUUUGUUUUGUACCAAAUCAUUAGAAAAAAUUAUUUCAUAUCAUUUUUGCUCAUAAAGUAGAUGUGCACCUGUAGUGUAGUCAAAUACCUUUAUAUUUGAUUAAAGUCAUUCCUAUUUAGCUGGGUUUAUAAGGUAGUGUAGAAGCUUGAAAUGUGUGAGUAUAGUGAGUGUUUGUUAGUUUGAUUCCAUCCGUCCUCCUGUGUUCUUUUCAGAUUUUACUUUGCAAUUCACCCUGUCAGUACAAUGCUGUAGGAUUUACUGUACAUCUGGGCCUUAAGUGCCCUUAGCUGCAAACUUCAACCAUGAUUAAAUUAUUGCCAUUGGCAAAUAAUGACAAA